GAUGAACGCUGGCGGCGUGCCUAAUACAUGCAAGUCGAGCGAACAGACGAGGAGCUUGCUCCUCUGACGUUAGCGGCGGACGGGUGAGUAACACGUGGAUAACCUACCUAUAAGACUGGGAUAACUUCGGGAAACCGGAGCUAAUACCGGAUAAUAUAUUGAACCGCAUGGUGCAAUAGUGAAAGACGGUUUUGCUGUCACUUAUAGAUGGAUCCGCGCCGCAUUAGCUAGUUGGUAAGGUAACGGCUUACCAAGGCAACGAUGCGUAGCCGACCUGAGAGGGUGAUCGGCCACACUGGAACUGAGACACGGUCCAGACUCCUACGGGAGGCAGCAGUAGGGAAUCUUCCGCAAUGGGCGAAAGCUUGACGGAGCAACGCCGCGUGAGUGAUGAAGGUCUUCGGAUCGUAAAACUCUGUUAUUAGGGAAGAACAAAUGUGUAAGUAACUAUGCACGUCUUGACGGUACCUAAUCAGAAAGCCACGGCUAACUACGUG
rnacentral:rRNA from 1 species